GGUUUGGUCCUAGCCUUGCAGUCAGUUAUUACUUAAUAUACACAUGCAAGUAUCCGCCCCCCUGUGAAAACGCCCUUUAAUCCCCUCUAGGGACAAGGAGCUGGUAUCAGGCACGAAAAUCUGCCCAAGACACCUAGCUAUGCCACACCCACAAGGGAAUUCAGCAGUGAUUAACAUUGAGCAUUAGCGCAAGCUUGACUCAGUUAAAGUAAGAUAGAGCCGGCUAAUCUGGUGCCAGCCGCCGCGGUUACACCAUGUGGCUCAAAUUGACCCCUUCCGGCGUAAAGCGUGAUUAAAGUUAUUUAUUAAUAGAGUUAAACUGAAACUAAGCUGUGACACGCCUGUUAAUCAAGAAACCCAAAAACGAAAGUUACUCUAACUUAAUCAACUUGACUUCACGACAGCUGG
rnacentral:rRNA from 1 species